rnacentral:rRNA from 1 species
AGGACGAACGCUGGCGGCGUGCUUAACACAUGCAAGUCGAGCGGAAAGGCCCUUCGGGGUACUCGAGCGGCGAACGGGUGAGUAACACGUGAGCAACCUGCCCUUAGCUCUGGGAUAGCUCCGGGAAAACCGGAAUUAAUACCGGAUACUACACCGGCUGGCAUCGGCUGGUGUGGAAAGAUUUAUCGGCUAAGGAUGAGCUCGCGGCCUAUCAGCUUGUUGGUGAGGUAACGGCUCACCAAGGCGACGACGGGUA